UUGUAAGAACAAGACUACGUGAAGAAGGGACAAAAUACAGAUCUUUUUUUCAGACACUGUCUUUGAUUGUUCAAGAAGAAGGCUAUGGGUCUCUUUACCGUGGCCUAACAACUCAUCUGGUGAGACAGAUUCCAAACACAGCCAUUAUGAUGGCCACCUACGAACUGGUGGUCUACCUACUCAAUGGAUAGCAGCAGGGGCUGCCGUGCUGCAGAGCAGGAAAACCAAACGAUCACAGUGGACCAUGGAAUAUUGAAGCCAGCAUGGUGGUCAGAAGACAGUAGUGGGGAAACAUGUAACUACUGUGGCUGAGUGGAAGUUUGGUUUUAGGAAGUAAGGUACUACCACACCACAUUGAUCUUUCAGUGAGGACACCCUGGGCUGCCUCUUAGAGAAUGCUUUGAAAAGCAUUCCUAUCUCAAAAUUGCCAUUUUCUCUACUAUUCACCAGCUCCAGAUUUGUUUUACUGGUUUAUGACAGUCAGAAUAUAGUGUUAAUUCCAUGAGCAUUUUUGGUUGUUUAGACAAAAUCAUUCCUCAGUAUAUACUGUACUGUAAUUUUCCAAAAAUGACAGUGACAAUUACAGAUGACUAACCGGACUUCUCCUGCAGUACUGUAAAAGAACAAGUAGAUCUCGAUAUCCCAGUUCCCUAGAAGGGCCUGCCUGUUACAGUGUUUUAAGUUAUUUGACACCAGUAAUCACUGUGUUUUGACAACCAGUGAAAUAGUGUCUAAAUACUUCACAUUUUCAACAUUAAAAUGUUUUGGUCACAGAUAAAAGG
rnacentral:lncRNA from 1 species